rnacentral:misc_RNA from 1 species
UGGAAACUCUGCUUCUCUUCCUGCUUUCAUCCGUGAGAAAUUAGAGGUACAAUCUUCGUCUCCUAUCUGAUUUUUCACAUUACGUAGUUUCAAUUUUCAAGAAGAGGAAUCAGUUCUGCAUCUUCUUUUGCGUUUUUAAUUCUCCAGAAUCUAUCUUUUCUUUAAUUCAAGCGUGCCAAUGUUCAGGAUUCUUGAAGCUUUUGAUAAAUCUUGUUUUCUUCAGUGGAGUCGUUUAUUGAUGUUAAAUUCUAGCUUCAAAAGCUAUGCUAAACGCGGUGGAUGUAUGAAUAUAGCCUAAAACUGUGUCAAUUAGAAUAAAUUUGGGUAACUGCGAAUCAACUUGGAUUGUAAUUCAAAGUUGCAUAGAACGGACAUUUUCCGAUUGUUACAGAUGAUUUUGUGAAUUUCUCUAUCUCAAAAUCAAGAAAUCACAGAAGGAAGAGGAUAGAAAUGAAGGCACAAUCAGUCAUGGCAGGAAGCACAAGUUCGCUAUGUUUUGUUGGCUCUCUCAAGAGGAUAAGGCCGCGUUUCAUUGUUUUCUCUCAACAAAGAGAACCAACAGGUCGAGCUUUAGCCCGCAAGUGCAGAUUAUAUGGGAGUGGAAGAGAGAUCAAAGCGUCUAUGGCAAUGACAAGGAAAUUUUUGUAGAUUGUGCAUCAUUAAUACACACUUUACAUUGGAAAAGAAUGCCUCAUCUAGCUCAUGAACUCUUGCUAGAGAUGAAAUCCCAGGGCUUUCUACCCAGCAACUCUACCCUUUCAGCUAUGAUGCUUUGCUAUGCCAAUAAUGGCCUUUUCCCUCAAGCUCAAGUGCUAUGGGAGGAAUUGUUGAAUUCUUCUUUUAUGCCUAGUAUUCAAACAGUUGCUCAAAUAUUUGACGCUUAUGGAAAGUGGGGACUUUUUAAUGAAGUAAUGAAAAUUCUGGACCAAUUAAGUUACAGCAAUUUCAGCUCGUUACAUGAGGCUUACUCACUGGCUAUAUCUUGCUUUGGAAAGGGAGGGCAGCUUCAGUUGAUGGAAAAAACGUUGAAGGAGAUGAUCUUGAGGGGUUUCCCAGUAGACUCUGCCACCGGGAAUGCCUUUAUCAGAUAUUCAAGUAUCCAUGGUUCUUUGACUGAGAUGGAAGCUGCUUAUAUUCGCUUGAAAAGGUCUAGACAUCUCAUAGACACAGAAGGAAUCAGAGCAAUGUCAUUUAAAUAUAUAAAGGAAAAGAAAUUUUACAAGCUAGGUGAGUUCCUGAGGAAUGUGGGUCUUGGUAGGAAAGAUGUGGGAAACCUUAUAUGGAACUUUCUGCUUUUAUCUUAUGCUGCCAAUUUCAAAAUGAAAAGUUUGCAAAGGGAAUUUUUGAGCAUGUUGGAAGCUGGUUUCAGUCCAGAUCUCACUACAUUUAAUAUUCGAGCUUUGGCUUUUUCAAGAAUGGCUUUGUUGUGGGAUCUCCAUCUUAGCAUUGAACACAUGAAGCAUGAAAAGGUUUCUCCUGAUCUUGUGACUUAUGGUUGUGUUGUAGAUGCAUACUUGGAUAGAAGACUAGGUAAAAACUUGGACUUUGCCCUCAACAAAAUGAAUUUGGAUGUUUCUCCGGUACUAUCAACCGAUCCAUCUGUGUUUGAGGUUUUGGGUAAAGGGGAUUUUCAUUCAAGCGCAGAAGCAUUUUUAGAGUCUUCCCUGCACAGGAAAUGGACUUACAGGGAACUUGUUUCGCUAUAUCUCAGGAAACAGUACCGAAGUAACCAGAUCUUUUGGAACUACUAAGCAGUGACGAUACGAGGACUUCUCGAAGAUCACAGGGAUGAGCACCAUAUGGGAGUUCAUUGGAGCGAUGGUGACUGGUGAUGGAUCUCAUGCGUCAUCUCAUUUGAAGAUUCAAUAGGGUUAAGGUGCUUUUGUAUAAGAAUUGGGUCAUCCUUGCCUUUUUCACUACACUUGU